rnacentral:SRP_RNA from 1 species
AAGCGGGUCCCGCGCAAUUCGCAUAUUGCGAAUCAUGUCAGGUGGGGAACCAAGCAGCAUUAAGCUUUUUUUGCGGAUGUGUUGCGGGAGUGCCUGCUUUGA